rnacentral:lncRNA from 10 species
UUGAAUCCAAGAUCUGCUGCCUGAGUCUUGUAGAGAGGCCGUGAACUCAAGCAGGGCUGCCUGCAUGUGAAUCCCACGUGGAAGCUAGGUGACUUCAGGAAUCCUCACAGCCAGGCUUCACAGCUCAGCAAGGGUCCUGUGCCAUCCCUGCCUGAAGAUCAUUUUGCAUUUUUUAGCUGGUAUCCAGCAUGUUGACUAAGAACAAGAGGGAUUUCUUUGAAAGAACAAUCAGGAUGCCCUAGCUCCUGGGGCCUUUUCCCAGCUCCCAAGCCUGG